rnacentral:miRNA from 1 species
CUGAGCUCCCCAGAGGGAGCUGAUAAUCUCGCUGGGGCCUCCAAAUGUUAUGGUGCCUGUGAGUUAAAGUACGAGACAGCCAAACAGAAUUUAAAGAGCCUUUAUUAG